UAAUUAAUUUCAGUAAAUCGACUUCACUAAUUAAAACAUUAGUUUCCGUUAAUAGAAAUUAGAUAAGAAUUGAAAAAAAGCUUGUGUAGGAGUCUAAACGAAACAUGAGGCACGGAGAAUCGAACCGACGAUCUUCAGAACCACAGUCCAUCGCUUUACCUACACAACCAAUCCCGUACCUUACAUUUCAUAUUUUCAUUUGUCUUCUUAUACUUAUACUUAUGGGCGCCGAUACUAUACUUGUUUAAAUAAAAUAAUAAGUAUCCUAAGCAGUAACGGUGAACAUAUUUAAUUUAUCAAACCAUAGAAUUCAAUUGAAGCUUCAGGGUCUGACAAACCUCAGCGAAAGAAAGUUGUAUCGUAAACCACCUAAAAAUAAAUUCUUCCGACGAUGACUCUGUAAUUUGUGAAUUCAUAACUAUUUUUAUACACCGACUUAGAGAUCGUUAUGAAACUGUGUGCAUAGCGAUUGCUCAAUGACGGUCGUUUAUUUGAAUACAUGUUGCUUCGCUUUUCCUCGAUGAAUUUCGUACGCGUUCGCAGCCUGGCAGGCUGAUAUCGCAUUAAUCAUUGCGCAGGAUGUGGAGAAAGAACUACACAUUACCUACCGAAUUAAAUCGUUUCGUAUCGUCCGAACAUCAUUUAUCAGACGGUAAAAUAAAUUCCUAUUUGGAUUCAAUUUUUACAAAUAAACAACACGUUCGAGGAAGAUAAAGAUCGAUUUUGUAAUGUAGGAUACGUUGCCAACCCUAAUGGAAGGGCUAAUAGUUCAACCUCGGCAUUGUUUAACCUUUAAUCGUCGGAAUAUUCACACCGUUGACGGUAAAUGGCAAGUCCAAGGCAUUUUCCCUGAUUUAUCGCCGAGCGAGAACUGUUUUUUCUUUCGGUCGCGGUUGCUCGACCAGAAACGAAAGACAAUCUAUAAAUUUCUUUGAUCCCAACGAAGGGUAAAAAUGAAUGAAAAGCGUAAUGCUUUUAACGUAUAUUUAGAGCGGAACGAAUAUUAUAAGGUACAACAAUAACGUUUUUUGCUUGACAAUAUUUUAAAUGGUAUUGCAAUCUACAUAUAAUAUUCAUUAACCCUUUGCCUAACCUAAUCCUCUAUCGAGUGAGGUUCGACAAAAAUGCAGUGAAAUCAGGAAAUUUAGAGUGCAAAGACAUUUUUCAUGCAUAAAAAUGUCUAUAUUCAAAAACAGUAAUAAACAGUGAGAAUCGAGACAAGUUAAACAAUGUCCCAAAAAUAUUUUUUAUCUAAUACAAAUCUCUAUUCGAUUUCUAAGGUAUAAUUUACGAAAGAGUUAAUUCACUGGCAUUAUCUCGACGUGGUUGUGAUUAAUGUUUCUGCAUUCCUAACAGCUGUCACAAGAAGCUGAAACAUUCAUCAUGUUUCCAAAAGUAAGGGAGGAUGAUGUAUUUCCACGCAACUGAAUAUCGUUAAAUAAAUAUCGUUAAACACUCUUACAUGUUUCCUCAAUAUAAAUACAUAAUUAAUCUGCUAAUUUAAUUACCUGCAAAUUUAUUCGUAGCCUUUUGGAUCGAUUACACGACUCGAAACAAUUUCAUUGGAGGGAUUUUGCAGUAAUUUAAAUUAUUCGAAGAAAAUUUCAAAUGGAGUGAAUUUUAUUAUUGAUAAUUCCGAUUCAAGUGGACGAUGAUUUCAAACAAAUAUUCCGUGUUUCGGGAAAGCAAUAUCAACUUCUAUGGUUUAUUUGCACUGUGGGAAUUUCGAAAUUAAUGUAAGAGAAAAAAAUCAAUGGAGAAAUGGAAUUUUUUCUGUUCAAAGAAGUAUUUGUCACAGGAUGAAUUUUUGAUUUAUAGGAAACGUUCGACCUACCUAAAAAUGAAUUUCUGAUCCUCGACAAAAUAAUACUCCAAUAAUAAAAAAAAAAAUGAAAUUUAAACCUCUACAGAAUGAAUAAACUAAAUUAAAAAUGACGUACAACAUUAAUUAUAAUUCUUGAA